CUCCUUUGACGUUAGCGGCGGACGGGUGAGUAACACGUGGGUAACCUACCUAUAAGACUGGGAUAACUUCGGGAAACCGGAGCUAAUACCGGAUAAUAUUUCGAACCGCAUGGUUCGAUAGUGAAAGGUGGUUUUGCUAUCACUUAUAGAUGGACCCGCGCCGUAUUAGCUAGUUUGUAAGGUAACGGCUUACCAAGGCGACGAUACGUAGCCGACCUGAGAGGGUGAUCGGCCACACUGGAACUGAGACACGGUCCAGACUCCUACGGGAGGCAGCAGCC
rnacentral:rRNA from 1 species